rnacentral:snRNA from 1 species
AAAAAUCUAAAUUUUACCUGAAA